GGGGUACCAGUAAAACAGGAAAAAUGGAAGAAAUGCUGCAAGUGGAAAGAAACAGUACAGCUGAGCAUCACAGGUGAUCCCAGAGCACUGUCAGAAGAAGACGGCAAUGUUUGACUUGGAGCACCACAGCCUGGGCAUCCCCUGCCUGCUCUCCAGUUGCCAGCAAACUCAGCGAUGUGCUUCAAAACCCUGUGCUCUCCUCUAUAAGACCCUGUAACAAACCAAAUUUAGACCCUCCAGACUGCAAUCGAAUCCAUUGACUGCGGUGAUAUGAAGUUCAUGCGA
rnacentral:lncRNA from 1 species